GUUUUGUUCUCCUCUCCAACCGGUGUGAGAUCUCACGAGGUCUUAUUCAGAGUUUGUGCACGACUCUUGCCUUCGCCAGUCUCUUGUAAGAUCCAGUGUUGCCGCAAGCUCAAUGUGCAAUUGCUGCUGACAAAAGGUACAAACUUGUACAAAAUUUACCCACAAAUAAUUGAAUUUUAUACGUCAUCUUGCGUGUAUUUAUUUCUUUUA